CUGAAUGUGGCUGGCACAUGAACUCGAUGUGCUGACAGCAAUUUGUACUCCGAUUAAAAUAGGGGGGAAAAAAGGAAAGAGAGUGCACAGCAGUAACAAAAAUGAAAUGCAAGAACCCCUAAACCAUGCAAUUUGUAUUUUAGGAAGCAAAACUGAGAAAGAGGCUCCAUAACUUAAAAAACAAAAAACAAAAAGCUGUAAAUGCUCCAGCCUAAAGACAUUAGCUCUGGAUGGGAGCAAUGAGUAUGCUGUGGAGAAUGAGAGCAUUUUCUCACUUCUGGAGAAUGGAGUUUCAAAUGAGCAAAGGGCAAAUAAACUUGUGGUGUUGGAUUGGAACUGGAACUGCAACUGCCAAAUCUUGCUGUUGUCCAGGCUGAAGCACAAUGGCACAAUCACGGCUCUCUGCUGUAGCAUUCAUCUCCAGAGCUCAAGUGAUUCUUCCACCUCAGCCUCCCAAGUAGCUGGGACUACAGGGACGUGACACCACACUUGACUAAUUCUCUUGAUGCUUUUUAGUAGAGAUGGGGCCUCACUAUGCUGUCCUGGCUGGUCUCGAAUUCCUAAGCUCAAGAGAUCCUCCUGCCUCGGCCUCCCAAAGUGCUGGAAUUACAGGCAUGAGCCACUGUGCCCAGCUAAGACUAUCUUUGAGAUAUAUUCAAUACUUUUUUUUUGAGACAGAGUCUUGCUUUGUCAUCCAGGCUGGAGUGCAGUAGCACCAUCUCGACUCACUGCAACCCCUGCCUCCCGGGUUCAAG
rnacentral:lncRNA from 1 species